GUGUUUUUCUCUUGUUUCCCAUGCAGCAGCAAAACUGCGCAUAAUCUUAGAGGCUGAAGUGUCCUGCUUUAGGACCCUGAUGAAUGGAGGCUACAGCUGCCUGCCUAGGUUUGCACACCAUCACCAGAAAAUGUGCCCAGCUUUUGACCUUGUUUAAAAAUCUGGAAGGUUGGCAUACAUCAGACUUCACACUCUGCAGCAACCUUCUGGCAGUCAUCCAUACGGACUUCAAGGAACAAGGCACCGGUGCAUUUUUCACACAGGAAUGAGAGAAAGGCGUGAUCAUUUUGCAAGGUCUGCACCAUGUGGUUGCGAAGUCAACCACUACAAGUUUAUCUCCUGUAGCAGGCAAUACUUUCUGUGAGGCGUCCCUGCUUUACCACUUUGGCUUCUGGGAGUUUGACCCAAAUUUCCUCUUCUUAUAAGGAUUUAUCAUAUUGGAUUAAGACCCACAAAUGGUCUCAUUUUAACUAGUAACCUCUAAAAAUCAUAUUUUCCAGGAUAAUCACAUGAUGAGAUGCUGGAGGUUAGGACUAAAAUAGACUUACAAUGGGAUGUUUGACUGGAUCAUUCUUUUAGAAAACUGUACUAAAGAAAUAAAGAUAAUCCC
rnacentral:lncRNA from 1 species